rnacentral:snoRNA from 1 species
UGCAAAUGAUGUUUAUCUCACGAUGGUCUUCCAAGCCUUGUGGUUGUGACGACACUGCCUAAUGGCAACAACUGAUGCAGUCAU